GGUGGCGGACGGCUCAGUAACACGUAGUGAACCUGCCCUGGGGACGUGGACAACCAUGGGAAACUGUGGCUAAACCGCGAUAGGUCAUUGUUUCUGGAAUGGGCAAUGGCUCAAACCUACAUGGCCCCAGGAUGGCACUGCGGCCGAUCAGGUUGUUGGUGAGGUAAUGGCCCACCAAGCCUGUAACCGGUACGGGCUCUGAGAGGAGGAGCCUGGAGAUGGGCACUGAGACAAGGGCCCAGGUCCUAUGGGACGCAGCAGGCGCGAAACCUUCGCAAUAGGCGAAAGCCUGACGAGGUUAUUCCGAGUGUUCCCUGCUAAAGGGAUCUUUUGCCAGCUCUAAAAAUGCUGGUGAAUAAGGGGUGGGCAAGCCUGGUGUCAGCCGCCGCGGUAAUACCAGCACCCCGAGUGGUCGGGAUGAUUAUUUGGCCUAAAGCAUCCGUAGCCGGCGCAUCAAGUCUUCCGUUAAAUCCACCUGCUCAACAGAUGGGCUGCGGGAGAUACUGCUGCGCUAGGAGGCGGGAGAGGCGAGGGGUAUUCCAUGGGUAGGGGUAAAAUCCUCUGAUCCAUGGAGAACCACCAGUGGCGAAGGCGUCUCGCCAGAACGCGCUCGACGGUGAGGGAUGAAAGCUGGGGGAGCAAACCGGAUUAGAUACCCGGGUAGUCCCAGCUGUAAACGAUGUAGGCUCGGUGAUGGACUGGAUUCGAUCCAGCCCAGUGCCGCAGGGAAGCCGUUAAGCC
rnacentral:rRNA from 1 species